CACAUUCCAGCCAGCAGAACAAAUAAAAGGAAACAGAUAAAAAGUAUAUACACCGAUGGUCUUUUAAGGAUAAUUCCUGGAAAUGGCCACCUUAUAUUUCUGCUUAUAUUAUGUUAACCAGAAUAUAGACAUGUGGCUAUAACCAGUUAAAAGAGGCUGGGCGAUUCAGGAUUCUGCUAAAAAUAGAUUUCAAUUCUAUGGGGAAGGGGAGGAGAAUAUUGGGAGACAACAGGAAGUCUCUGCAGAAGAUGGUCAAGGAAGGUCUUUCUGGGGCGGGGACAGUAGAUGCGAGAUGUAAAUGAUGAGAAGACAGAUGUCCUAAGAUGAACUCCUGGCCGGGCGCUCAGCAAGUGUAAGGGCCUGAGCUGCAGCAAGAGAGGCGAACUUGGUGUGCAGAGGUAAUGCAGCCUGAAGGAAGGUGAUCAGGCAGAGGCAGUAUGUUUCUCCAGAGGGACAGAGUUCUAAUCUUCAUGAAGCCUUGAUGGGUAAGUACCGUACCCCACUUUACAGAAGAAGAUACUGACCUCCGAAUGGUCGUCUUGCUAAAGGAACUGGAUCUGCCUUUCAUUAGACUUCUCUGCAAGUCUAAUCAUCCACUCAGCCUUUUUAUGUACUGUGGCAUCUGUCUUUAUUCUCUCACUUGCCCACCUAACUCUAGAAACUCCACCUCAUUCUUUUUUCCAUUAGCUACAAUUUCCAGCUGAGAAUGGAUACUCAAAUAUUUAUUGUCAGAAUAAACUAGAGACAUAGAUAUGACUACACAAAACACAUAAUGGAUUCCUGAAAGGGGUGCUGUUGUAUUCUAAAAGAGUCCUGGGAUAUUGAAUCCAGCAGUCCUGACUGGUCUCAAGGGAGCUAUCCCCUGUUCUGCAAGCGUAGCACAAUCUGCAGAAGAAAGAAAGGGAGGAGGAGGAAGGGAGGGAGGAGAAAGGAGAGGAAGGGAAAGGAAAGGAAGAAAGGAAAGAGAGAAAGAAAGGAAGGAAGGAAGUUAGUUUCUACCCGUUUUAAAUUGGAAGAAUGCUCCUGAAAAAUACAGAUAUUUUUUUCUUUUUUGAGACAGUAUCUUGCUAUGCAGUCCAGGCCAGCCUUGAGCUUCCUAUGUAGUCCAGUCUGGCCUUCAAUUUGGGUUCCUUCUGGAGAUACUCCCGCCCGUUUCCCGAGUGCUGGGACUAUAGGUGUGCGCCACCAUGCCUGGUUUUUUUGUUUCUUCUCUCGAUAUUUGCCAACGCUGGGGCCACAUUCCCACAAACUAAAAAGAGUAGAGAGCCGAGCAGGGGCUGCCCUUGGUCCACAGAGGUUGCCACCUAAAGCACCUGUGGGCCUGAAUUUUCACCCUCCAACUGUCAUAUUCCCUUAUUUUAGAUUUGAGGAACUGAGACCCAGCAUAGCAAAGGGUCUUCUUUGAGGGACCCAGGUGUCCGCUUCCCCAGCGUUAGGCACUUUCUACACCCCACUGCCUAGGACACACAGACACCCUAAAACUCCACAUCUGUCACAAGUACACAUAUGCAGGCUUAAACACUCCACAGAAGCCAGGUGUGGUGCGCACAGCCGCAACCCAAGCACUCUGGGAGGCUGAGGCAGGAGGAUUUCAA
ensembl:lncRNA